GGUGGAGUAGAGGACGUCUUGGAAGAUAAGAUGGCAGAGACGUUCUCUACUCCAGACUGCAAGCCCCUACAUAUCUCUGAAUCUGGCAAAGGCAAUUCAGAUGCCCAGAGUUCCAGUGACACAAGUGAUGAGAAGCUGCAACCCGUUGCAAAGAAAGUGAAAAAAUGUG